rnacentral:rRNA from 1 species
ACUUUAAUUGAAGAGUUUGAUCAUGGCUCAGAUUGAACGCUGGCGGCAGGCCUAACACAUGCAAGUCGAGCGGAAACGGCAGUAUUGAAGCU